rnacentral:rRNA from 1 species
GACGAACGCUGGCGGCGUGCUUAACACAUGCAAGUCGAACGGAAAGGCCCUGCUUUUGUGGGGUGCUCGAGUGGCGAACGGGUGAGUAACACGUGAGUAACCUGCCCUUGACUUUGGGAUAACUUCAGGAAACUGGGGCUAAUACCGGAUAGGAGCUCCUGCUGCAUGGUGGGGGUUGGAAAGUUUCGGCGGUUGGGGAUGGACUCGCGGCUUAUCAGCUUGUUGGUGGGGUAGUGGCUUACCAAGGUUUUGAAGGGUAGCCGGCCUGAGAGGGUGACCGGCCACAUUGGUACUGAGAUACGGCCCAGACUCCUACGGGAGGCAGCAGUGGGGAAUAUUGCACAAUGGGCGGAAGCCCGAUGCAGCAACGCCGCGUGCGGGAUGACGGCCUUCGGGUUGUAAACCGCUUUCGCCUGUGACGAAGCGUGAGUGACGGUAAUGGGUAAAGAAGCACCGGCUAACUACGUG